rnacentral:rRNA from 1 species
CGCACGGGUGAGUAACACGUAUCCAACCUGCCGUCUAUUCUUGGCCAGCCUUCUGAAAGGAAGAUUAAUCCAGGAUGGCAUCAUGAGUUCACAUGUCCGCAUGAUUAAAGGUAUUUUCCGGUAGACGAUGGGGAUGCGUUCCAUUAGAUAGUAGGCGGGGUAACGGCCCACCUAGUCAACGAUGGAUAGGGGUUCUGAGAGGAAGGUCCCCCACAUUGGAACUGAGACACGGUCCAA